GUGAGGAGGACCCCACGUGAUGCGCAGCGUCACGUUUAUAAUGGGGUCCGACGUACCUGCCGCCGCCGUCGAAGACGGAGGGGGCGAUACCAAAA
rnacentral:sRNA from 1 species